GCAUUGAUGUUUCAGUGGUAGAAUUCUCACCUUCCGUGUGGGAGACCCGGGUUCGAUUCCUGGCCAGUGCU
rnacentral:tRNA from 1 species